GAAUUUGGACACUUUUGUCUCUAUUUUGUACAAACUGGAAACGGCCAAUCUUGUACCUCCACUCAACACCACACCUGGAGCUAAAUACAGAAGAAAACGUGAAGAGCAAAGUGGAAACGCGUGUUUCUUUUCUUUGUUUGCCUGCUGUGAGCUUGUCUUUGUAGAGGGACAGAAGAAGAAGAAAAUGGCGACUGAGAGAAUGAGUGAAAGACGAAGAGCAGCUCCCCUCUUGCAGCAUUCCGUGAAGAAAUGCAAUAAAUUCCUUGUUGUUUUAUGAAAAUUUACAACUUUGUGAUACAAGUUUAUGAGUGGCCGUGCAUGGGGAUUGGAUAGCGGGCUGGUCAUGUGGACGCGCUUAACGUGAACAUGAACUUUUUAUGAUUUCCCAAGUGGCUAUAAUGCUGCAGCGCUGCUCUCUGGCCCGAACAGCCGCCCUCUCCCCUGCUUCGGCUGAACCUCGCAAGCUGCCCCGCGAUCCUCAUCGCGCGGACAGAUGAAACUGAACGCUUUUAAUGAGGCGAAAUGCUUUAGAAAAACAACAGUGAUCGUGACUGCAGAGCCGAGAGGAACAGACAGUGACAACAAACCGCCUUCCUCCUCCUCCUCCUGCUGCUCUUCUUCCUCCAUGGCUCCGCGCUCCGGCGGAGGAGGUCUGAGGAGCUCAUAUCUGGAGACACCAUGCCGGAGAUUACUUUGUUUGUUUGCUUUGAAUUUCAAUUUGACAUUACUCAAAACGAUCAGCAGCAGAAUAGGGGCGAUGAUAGAAGAUGACAGAAGGCUUUCAAUGUCUCCACGUCCCCUCGGUGACAUCAGAGGAUCUGCAAAUCCUCCUCCUCCUCGCCCUCACCUUCCUUCCUCACAGACUGGGUAAGAUGCUGUCUCCUGUCCUUCCAGCGCGCCCUGACACCGCGGGGAGCUGCAGAAAAACAACCUUGCAGAGCAGCAUAAAUUCUCCCGUUAACUUUUAACCACCGGGAUGCUUGUGAAGCCGGAGGACUGCUCCAGUCGCUGAUGGUCCGGUGAAGUGAUCCGGAGCGUGAGUUCGGGGUUAUGCAGGAGAGGCGCUCAGCCGCUUUACGUUGCCUGGAAACAAUUAAUACAUUAAAACAAAAAACGCGCAAGUCAGGCAGUUUCUGUUAGUUUGUCAUUAACUCAUAUAGGAGAGGUCAGUCAGAGGGAGUUCUAAGACACACACACAGACACACACAGACACACACACACACACACACACACCUCUUCAUUAUAGUGUAUUGAUUCACACUUGACACCACUAUGUCACUUUGCUGAGUAUUGAAAACGGUGAAAAAUAAAAGCCAGAUUUGAUAUCCUUACUUUAUCCUCACAGUUCUGUUUAGGUUCCGUUUCUAGGAUUAAAUUCCUUACGCUUUGUAUUUCUAACCCUUAAGAUAAAUUAAACCAUAUUUAUUUAA